CGCGGGGUCCCGGGAGCCCCCCUGGCGCACCCCCGGGCGGGUACUUACAGUUCCCAUCUGCAGAGGGGGCAACUUUCACCGACCCCGCGGUGGCCGCCGCCCCCUCCAGCCUGUUCGGGCGCCCGGCACCCUCCGGCCUGGGUUCGCGCUGGCCUGCGCGCCCCUCCCCCGCUCUGGGCUCCGCUCAGUCUUCACCACAUUGCCCCCAGCUCAGCGGCGAGCGCCCGGGGAGCUGCCGGAGGGAGCGGGGCGCGAGGCUGAGCACGCAUCGCAGGGCUUCUUCUUGCAGCGCACACUGUACAUGGUAGUGUGGGGGCGAGAGAAGGUGGCACUGGCCCCUGGGCUCCUCCAGCGGCGGCGGCGGAGGCUGCGACUCCUACGCGGUCCUCCGCCUCCCGCGCGGCGACCACCGCGCUGGGCUCCCGCCGCCGCUGUCCCCAGCCUAGCCCGCCGCCACCGCGGCCCCUAAUUAGUAUUUGCACGGUUCCCGCAUCCUCUUGGCCGUUUCGUCGCUCUCGGCGUCUGCAGGGUUUGUUCCUCUCUCCCUUCCCCAGAUGCGGCGCUCGAUCGUCAUUAUUCGGAGCUCUGUAUCUCCGACCUCCUUCGGGGGUCUGAGGGGCUGGAGUAGCGCUGCUCUACGCCUGUGGCGCGUCCUGGCAGCCCGGAGGCUCAAAAAAACUCAGAGAAAGUCGCGUCUUCUCUCCUGGGCGAUGAGGAGGUGGCAGCACGAAAAGCAUCGUCCGGGUCUCUGAGACCUCUGCUCCGUGGCCGGCGCUGGGCCAGUCCGGUGCACUUGUUUAUUGUCGCGCUGCUGGUGCGAGCCACGCUGCCGCAGACAUGAUGGGCCCGGGGCGAAGCAGGCACGCGGCGGCCGAUAGGUGGCAGCCAAGAGCGCGAGCCGCGCUGGGCUCCAGAGGCUCAGCCGGAGCCCCCCUCGAAUGUCACAUCCUUGGGAGACAGAGGAGUCUGGGACCAUGUGCGUAACGCGAGCGUGGGAGUGUGCAGUUCUCGUAUUGGAGAAGGGAGGAGUGGAGAUAACCCCGACAGUGCUAGGCUUGGUGGUGGGGGUCAGGGGCAGAUGAUUCCAGCCCAGUGCUGCCCGCUUGCUGCUUGCUCCCUCUUCCAUUUAGAGUGGGAGAGCCCUUGCUGCCGUCUCCCACAACACUGUAGAGGACCCUGGAAGAGGGAGUGGUUCGUUCUAGCUGUAAAGAGGGAGCUACUUUUAUUUUUAAGAGUUACGUUUUUAUAACUAUGUUUGGGCAGUUCAAGGGAAUGUGAACGACUUUCAGAAAAAAAAUGGUUUGUGAAUGCACUGGGAAUGAACUAGAAGCUGGAAAAGCCCUAAAUAGAGGCAGUCUCAAUAGAAAGCGAGUUUCUUCAAGAGUCACCUGCUAAACUUCACUAGCUUCGUCUCUACAGUGAAGAACUUAGCUACAGAGAGGGAGAGAGAGAGAGAGCGAGAGAGAGAGGAAAUAAAAAUGCAUCCUGUGUGCGGAGCUGUCGCACUAAUAGUUAUCUCCAAGGAGCUUCACUAUUUGUGGAUUGAAACUCACAUGAACAUUCUGAUUUUGCUAUACCUGCUCAUUAUUUGAAGAACAACUCUUAUUGUAUUUAAGAAUGUUCUGUGCUGUCUGGGCCUGUCUUGCAAUUGAUCCUGGAUUUGAAGCUGACAACUGUGAACUAGUAGGAGAAUGCUGCCACAGGAGCUGCCAUGCCUGAAGAAAAUUCAAAAAAAGAAACUGGCACUAGGGUCCUUCACUGAGAAGUCUGCCUUCUUGACUGUCACCAUGCCAUGGGAGAGGUAGAGGAAGGAUCUGGGCACUGUAGGACCUCUGGCUUCCUCAAAGUCAAGAUGACCAUGAAAGGGAAGCAUUUUGAAUGCUUCAGCUCAGCACAUUGAGGUACCAACAACAGUCAAACUAAAAGCACAGUCAACCCAAAAGACACUCAAGAAAAGAUUUACAGAAUUGUUUCAGAAAGUAGCAAAAACAAUGGGAUAAGGUUGUUCAAAGUUAAGGGAAUAUUUUAAGGUUAAUUAAUUAAUGGUAAUGUCUCUUAUUGUAAUAAUUUUUGAACAUAUAUGAUUGUUUAAUUAUACUUUAUAAAUUAGGCUACUUUUUAAUAAUCUGGUCUGGCAGUUUCUGCCUUUGCAUUGGAUUGUUUAAUCCAUUCACAUUUAAUUUACUACUGAUAUAAAUUGCAUUGUGUCUGUCAUUUUGGUAUUUGCUUCAUACAAUUAAUAUGUCCAUUUUUCUUUGUAUUUUACCUUUACUAGUUUUUUCU
ensembl:lncRNA